rnacentral:rRNA from 1 species
AGUUAUAGUUUGUUUGAUGGUACGUGCUACUCGGAUAACCGUAGUAAUUCUAGAGAUAAUACGUGUAACAAACCACGACUUCUGGGAGGGGCGCAUUUAUUAGAUAAAACACUGACGCGGGCUCUGCUCGCUCAUCCGGUGAUUCAUGUUAACUCGACGGAUCGCACGGCCCCACAACGACGAAGCACACCAACCGGACU